AACGAACGCUGGCGGCAUGCCUAACACAUGCAAGUCGAACGAGACCUUCGGGUCUAGUGGCGCACGGGUGCGUAACGCGUGGGAAUCUGCCCAUGGGUCCGGAAUAACUCGCCGAAAGGCGUGCUAAUACCGGAUGAUGUCGUAAGACCAAAGAUUUAUCGCCCAGGGAUGAGCCCGCGUAAGAUUAGGUAGUUGGUGGGGUAACGGCUCACCUAGGCGACGAUCCCUAGUUGGUCUGAGAGGAUGACCAGCCACACUGGAACUGAGACACGGUCCAG
rnacentral:rRNA from 1 species